AGUGAACGCUGGCGGUAGGCCUAACACAUGCAAGUCGAACGGCAGCACAGUAAGAGCUUGCUCUUACGGGUGGCGAGUGGCGGACGGGUGAGGAAUACAUCGGAAUCUACUUUUUCGUGGGGGAUAACGUAGGGAAACUUACGCUAAUACCGCAUACGACCUACGGGUGAAAGCAGGGGAUCUUCGGACCUUGCGCGAUUGAAUGAGCCGAUGUCGGAUUAGCUAGUUGGCGGGGUAAAGGCCCACCAAGGCGACGAUCCGUAGCUGGUCUGAGAGGAUGAUCAGCCACACUGGAACUGAGACACGGUCCAGACUCCUACGGGAGGCAGCAGUGGGGAAUAUUGGACAAUGGGCGCAAGCCUGAUCCAGCCAUACCGCGUGGGUGAAGAAGGCCUUCGGGUUGUAAAGCUCUUUUGUUGGGAAAGAAAAGCAGCAGGUUAAUACCCCGCUGUUCUGACGGUACCCAAAGAAUAAGCACCGGCUAACUUCGU
rnacentral:rRNA from 1 species